AGCAUAUAUACAGUUAUAAAAACUCAACUUCACGAAUAUCAGUUAAAAGUUUUUUGAUUUUAAUGGGUGAAAGAUAUUUAUCUAUAUUUGGAUCCCUGGAUGGCUUAUCAGACAAUUACAAAAUAUUUGCGGGAAUAUUUGGUUGCAUUAUACGUACAAUGGCGACAUUCACUUGGAACUUUUGUGAUCUUCUAAUUAUUCUGGUAUCAAUAGGACUUGGAGAACGAUACAAACAUCUCAACGAAGUUGUUCGUUUUAAAAUUUCAAAUAAUUUAACAAAAAGGAUUAAUUGGCA